GGGGGGCUAGGAUGAAAAAUUUUGUCCUGCCUUUUUUUUUUUAGCUGUAAUCUCUGUCCUGCCUUUUUAUUUUUUACUCUGCUCGGUCCUGCCUUUUUUUUUUUAGUUUAUCCUGACUUUUUUUUACCUUAAUUGUCGUCCUGACUUUUUUUUUUUUGCAAGUGUCUCAUCCUGCCUUUUUUUUUACUCAAAACUCCUGUCCUGCUAUUUUUU
rnacentral:lncRNA from 1 species